rnacentral:rRNA from 1 species
UACAGAGGGUGCUAGCGUUGUUCGGAAUCAUUGGGCGUAAAGGGCGUGUAGGCGGUUUGUUAAGUCAUGUGUGAAAUCCCUCGGCUCAACCGGGGAACGACGCAUGAAACUGGCAAGCUAGAGUACCAAAGAGGGGGGUGGAAUUCCCGGUGUAGCGGUGAAAUGCGCAGAUAUCAGGAAGAACACCCGUGGCGAAGGCGGCUCUCUGGGACGGUACUGACGCUGAGACGCGAAAGCGUGGGGAGCGAACAGG